GGUCCCGAGGCUCUCCGUGGUCGUGAGGCUGGAGCAGCUCUGCUUGCAGCGUCCUUCCCACCGCUCACCUGAGAGGUGCCCUGGCCCUUUAUGAAUGCCAGCCAUUGAAAAAUAAACAAUGCUUUUGGUAUGGCCCUUACUAAUGAAACCUUUAUUACAAUUAUGGCAUUUUUUCUUUUUUUAUUUUUUUUAUUUUUUUUUUUAUCUAAAACAACUCCAUCAGGCAUUGAACUGUAGAGCCAUUGAAAUAAAGACACAUUCAUUUACAGAAAACCUGCUUUUUCCUAUUUGCCCUGUUUUUGCAGCCUCCAUUCACAGUUAGUUCUGUUUCACAAACUCUUGCUUUUUGGCUUAGUCUUACAAUUAAACCUGGUAGCCAAAUGCCUGUUUUCACAUGCCUUGCUACCGUUCACCGAGGAGACGCAAGCAACAAAAAUAGAGACCCAAGAUGUAUAAAAGAAGAGAUGACACAUGUAUUCCCAAUCCUAUGUACACCCCCAGCACCUUGGCACCCAUCCUGUUGGCAAAGGGGCUGGAGAGGGGAGGGCAGCCCCCCGCACCUUGUAAAUAACAAUUAAAUAAAUAAUAAAGAUACUUGCUUAUUAAUGCAAAGGCAUUUCUGCUGGAGAGAGGCAGCCCCAAAGAGCCUCUCCUCCUGAGCCGCUGUCUUCUCCAUCCCCUGCCAUCCUCACCUCUCCCUCAGACCCCACCUGGCCAAACAAAAGCUGUGCACUUUGAGAUGGUUUUCCACCUUGCAUGAGCUUGGGCAAAAGAAUAUUGAUACUAAGAAGCAAUUUACUUUGGGCUGUGCUGUGCCAUCGAUCACGGGGCAGAACUCCCAUUAAAAUCAAUGAUUCUGAAAUGUUCAAUGUGGGUCUGGAGCAUCGAUGGGGAGUUUUGCUUUAAAAAUCAAUGAUGUAAUAUGGCGCUCUGUCAAUAAUUUUUCUGUAUUCCCAUUUCCAAAUAUUUGCAGUCAGUUUUGUGCUUCCUUCUCUGCAUUUGGUGCCUCUUUGUGCUUUUGGAAAGUUCUGGGGGUGAUGCCAGGGCUGUGCCCAGGGCUGGCAGGGGGUUGUACCCCUCUCCAGGACCAUGGGAGGUUCCGGAAACUGUAUGGAGCACACUGCUCCCUGCUUUCAUGCCAAUAUAAUGAUAAUAGUUCUCAUUUCUUUAAUGUGCUGGUGAGAAAUGAUGGGUCCCCACAGGAAAUUCGUAAAAGGUCUCUUGAUAAAAAUAUCUGGCAUUCAGACAAGCCAAGAAGGGUCACUCAGGGUUCGGGGUGACCCUUCUGCCCCGGUGGGCUCUUUGCCAUUAGGAUUAGCGUUGCUGGGCACUGCUUUACCACGGACCCCAGUGACCAGCACAGCUGCUGUACAGCUCCAUAGGAAACAAUAUCAGAAAUUAUUAAUUCCUGCACUUCAUUAACGACCAGUGCAGAGCUCUUCUUUCCCUGUGCAAUUUCUAGUCUGAGCCUAAACAGUCUGUGUGCUCCAGCACGUGGAGAAGGGUCCCUGGAGGCUUUGUUGGGACUGGUGCUGCCCAGCUGCUGCCAGCCCCACAGCUCCCAGAGAGGCUGUGAUCCCACAGCCCUUGCUGGCACUGGGGGCACUCAGUCCUCGCCUGGGGGCACGGCACUGGGACAUCACCCUGCACCACUGUGACUCCGUGAGCACAGGCACUCGAGCUGGACCCUGCUGAGCAAGUGUGAGGAGCGCAGGACUGGCCAGGGCCCCAGGAACAGUGGCUGGGGCAGUUCUGGACAUGGGGCAGCAGGGGGGUGAUCCAAGCCCCACCACAGCCCUAAACAGCCUUUGGAAAAGCAAAGCUGGGAAAUGUGGGAUAAUUCAAAUGAAGGAGAAAGCCACCAGCUCCUUCUCCACCCAGGGGCGUGGGGGAGAACCAUCCUGGCUGGGGGGCCAAUGGAGCUGCGGUGCCACAGUGGGCACCAGGACAUGCCUGGGCUGCUCAGCUUGGGUGUUGUGCAGGAGAUCUCCUUCCUCAUCUCCUAUGUCUGAUCGUAGGUAAAGAAGCUAAGAAAAAUUACCUGUGCCAUUUUAAAUACUGGAUUUUGCAUCUUCUUUCAUUGUUGGGUCAGUUCUCACUCAGAACAGUAGAAAAUGGUUAAAUACUUGCCAGCAUACUCAUAAGAAACCCAGUAAUUUCCCAGGUUCCUUAAUCCUGAGAGAUAAUGGCCAACACUUCCCAACUGUAAGUGACCCUAUUGUUUGUCCUGUCCCCAAACAGUUGGACUUCCUGUGGUGCCAAGGAAGCAUCUGCCCUGUCUGCCUUGGAGUGCUGUUGGUGACGGGAAAAUGGGGACACUACUCCAGCCGUCUGACUGGAGAGUUCACAGCUGUUGGACUGGGAAAGACCAUGCAGUUCCAAGCCCCUGCCGUGGACACCUUCCGCAGCACCAGGUUGCCCCAGUCCCCAUCCAACAUGGCCGACAAGAGAAGCAGCACUACUGUGGUAUCACCAUUUUUGGGGACAGCUCAGCUGGAGCAGCCUGGAACUGGAGCAAGGACAUUGAUGACACUCUGGUCCUGUGUUUGAACCUGUUUUCCCCCUGAUUCUGCCCAUGCAAAAGAGAUUUGGGAAGACCUUGGGAAGGUGUUUUGGUAAGAAAUGUUUAAACUUUGUCUAUGCUGCAACCUCUCCCCUGACCCUCAGUGAGCCCCAGCCCCACCAACAAGUUGCAGUGGAAACAAAGGCAGUUCUUGCUUCAGAUUCUUCAGAGAUAGCAAUAUGUCAGGAGCCCCUGGAGAGGCUGAAAGUAAAUGAAUCAGUGCUAGAAAGUGAAGGAUAUCAUCCGUGCUGAAUGGUGAAAAGGAGUCCUGAACAGUAUCUUCAUUGAUUUUCCUGUAAUUGACACAGAGCUCGGCUCGCCGGAGGCUGCGGCAGGAGCGGGGAGGCCCAGGUACCGCUCCCGCCUCAAUUAGGCAGCUCGGGGCUGGGGGCAGCUCCAGAGGAGCCAGCGGGUCACAGGGUGCUCUGCAAGCUGCCUUGAGGACAAGGGGCAGCUUGGAAAGACGUGUCCCAGGCUGUCAGCAGCUCCCCACCAGUCCUGGCAUAGCCCCAGGUGCACCAAACCCUCAGCCGGUGAGAAACACCGGCCCUAAGUCAGGAAAAUCCAGCAGUGGCAGUGGCAGGAAAUCUGGUUAGCUGAGAUCUGAGGCUCUCCAAGGAGAAAUUGCCUCGUGUGUGAAACCUCUCAGCUGGGUGGUGGGACAGACCCCGCUCUCUGGGCACCCAUGGUGCAGCAGGGGUGGCACUGCAGGAGGGAUGGGUCCCAUCGAGGAGAAGCACGGCCACACCUCACAAAAGGAACCAGGAGCAUCGAUCACUUCACAGCCCAGCGGAAGAGCCACCUGUCAGGUUGGGCAUGUGCUUAGGAAAGUUUCCCAGUUUUGACUUAUUCAUGCAAAAGGAGGCAGGCGGAGUGAAGCCAGACGGGAUGCCGGGGUUGGCAAGGCUCCUGAUGCCCCUUCUGCCAUGGACGGAUGUGUUCUGCCCCCAAAUCCUUCAGCAGCAAGUGCCGGCAGCUCCAGGCAGCGGGACAUGUUCCACGGUGACAUCCCAGCGGCUGGAGCCUCCGUGGCCCCUCGGAGCAGAGCACGCACCUUGGUUUGACUCAGCUCCUCUGGACCCCUCAGAGACAGCCAAGGAGAGCAGCAGAAGGAAUCUGGUGUAGAUGGAGGGUGAUCAUUUCCAGCCUCCAUGUUCAGGAGCAAUUCAUUAUCCAAACCUCCAGUUUGGGAGAAAAAGGUAUUUAAUCUUUUUUAAUCCCUCAGGACUCAGACCUCUGACCUGGAACCUACAACCACCCACAUCCCACGGGACAGGACACAGGCACAGAGGGCUGGUGGUUUGCAACCAGCCCUUCCCUGUAUCCCAGGAAAUGCUGUUCCCUAUAUCCCAGAUAGGCUUUGCUGCCAGCUGCCUCUCCAGGUGGGCUCCAGAUCCACCCUGGAAGGAGGUGACCUGCAGCCUGCCGAGUUCCUGCAUGGUUUGGCUUGGAAAGGACCUUCAAGACCAUCCAGUCCCAACCUCCUGCACGCUGGGAUAUUGGGACAGGCAGGUGUGGAGCUGGAGCUCUCACGAUCUCCCAUCUCACCAUCUCUGCAUGGUUACUCUCUAUUCAGAGAAUAGCUCCCAGCAGCUGCAGAGGGAAUGCAUAAGCUGUCCCUGGCAGGCAGUGUCAGUGGUUCUGAGUCCACGAGUCCCAUUUAUCCUCCUUCCCAGUCCCCCCCAUCGUGUGUCUGACAGAAUUCCAUUAGGGAGCUGCUAUCCUGUGCUGUGUCCCUGCCCAUGGCAGGGGCUGGAAGUGGCUGAGCUUUACGGUCCCUUCCGGCCCAAACCACUCCAGGACCCCAGGAUUCUGUACGCCCCCUCCCACAGCGGUGCUCCAGGAGCAGGUGAUGGCUCUGGACAACUGAAUCCUAGAGAAAAUUGACACUGAAAGGAGCAAUCACAGCAGCGUGGCUGCAGCCCUUCCCAUUUCCCCUGGCAAACCUUCCCCCGGGACUGUGUGCGCCUGACCCUAAACCUUCCCCAUUUUCCAAGCCAAUGCACUUGAUGGGAACUCAUCUCUGCACUCCCCACGGCUUCCCUGGCAUCCCCGGGGUGGGACACGGCCGCUUUCGGCUUGGCUGAAUCCCUGAAUCCAUUUCUCAGAUUGGAUUGGGGCUCUGCUCCGAUUUGUUCCCCUUCCUUCCAGCUCAGCAGACAUCUUCACCUCUGGAACACAGGCGGCUCUGCUCUCCUCAGCAAGACAGGGAUUUCCCUCAGUCUCCGUGUGGAAAGCAGACCUGUGCUGGACAAACACCCGGGAGGGCCAAGGAAACCCCUCUGGCACCCCGGGACCAUCCCACUCCCCAUCCUCUCCCUCCUGCCUCUGCCUCCUCCCACGAGGCCACCAGCAGCACCUUCGCUGCUUGUUCCUGGA